AGAAAAUUUAACAGUCUUUGAUCCAUGUGGAAUGGAGACAAAUUCCAAUUUAUUAGCUUGACUAGGUGUACUGACCAAUUGUUUAUUUUUUUUCAAACUGCAUGAAAUCAUCUUUGAUAGUUUCAUUACUUUGGCAUGGUGGUUUUGUAGAUAAUAAAGACUUCUCAGAAUGUGAGACCAACUCUCCCUCAAUUAUGUUAUCAGCUCUUUCAGCAAUGGAUUCUUGAGCUGCAAGCAAGCACGCCUGAUUUAUUAAAUAUUGAGAGCCAGGGGAAUCAUCAGAUUUAGAUAAUCAGUUCAGGAACUCUAACUGCUCCCUGGGAUGACUUGCAGAUUGGUAACCUCGGAAAGGCUGUGAAGGUGGAUUAUUGAAACCUACAUCAAAUGCAUCAGCUUCAUCAGCAAUGCUACUAGGUUCCAAACCGCCACGACAAUAGUAGUCAUCUUCAUUUAGUAUGGAAGAGGUAUAUGGUCAUCAAAGAGGUCUCAUAACAGCUUCGAGAAGAAUGGGAAGCAUUAGCUAAUUGCUAUGAAGAUCACAUGAGCAGUGCAUGGAUAUCAAAUAAUUUAUUAAGGAUUCUCGUGAAGAAGGAUUAUAGAAGUUAUCUCUAAGUCACGAGGAGUUAUUCUUUAGACUUUCUUUUGUGUAACUUUCAUGGGAAUAGUUGUUUUUUUAUUGGAUGAAUGUUGGAUGGAUGUUGGAUGCACUUCAAUUAAUGAU